UUAAUUUAGAAAAAUCGUGUUUUUCUAACAAUAAAACCCAGUUUCACUGUCUUUUUUUCUAGUGAAGAUUUUCGAUUGACCAAAAUUUUUUGACCUUUGGUCAGAUUUUUAAGCUUUUAUUUUGAUACAUUUAAGGUAUUUGGUGCUAGAAAAUUUUAGUUCUCUUGAAUUUUUUUCACUGGAGUCCCACCUAAACCUCCUGUUAGCUCUUUAAGGUUGUAGAUUAUGUGGUCAGUUAUUACCAUUUUCAUUUAGAAACUAUUUUUAAGUUCAGGUUUUUGAGUUCAAGUAGAUUAUGUGGGUCAGUCACAAUAUGCUUUUUUUCCAUGUCUACUUGCGAUAAUGAUAAAUUUUGUGGCAGGAACGGAAAUAAUGGAAGAUGUAAAUUAUGAUUUGUUGCUGGAAUGUGAUAAUGAGAACAUUGCAGAGAAUUUGAAUAUGUUAGACAACGAAAUGUAGGAGGAGAUGUUGUGACUGUGCCUGAAGUUGGGUAUGAUGUUCAAUGAUGAGAAAGAAAUGUUUGAAUUCUAUAAAAGCUAUGCUUAUGCCGUAGGCUUUUCAGCGAGGAAAAUGAAUUCAGAAAAAGGGAAAGAUGAAUGUCACAUGUGUAGUCGUUAAAGUUAACGAACUUAUGCUACAGGCGGCUCCUUGAAGCCACAGCCAACAAGUUAAGCGGAUUGUAAAGCAAGAAUAUCUGCAUCUUUGGAUGGUCUUGGAAUAUGGAGAAUUAAUAAAGUAUACCUAAACCACAAUCUUAAAACAAGACAUUCCAAGUUUAGGUUUUAUCGAUGCAACUGAAAAUUGAGUACGAGUGUGAAAUGAAAGCUUGAAGUAAAUGACAUGGUAGGAAUUCUCUUCCACACGUGUUAUAACUCUGCAGUGGUAAAAGCUAGUGGAUAUGAAAAAUACAACUUUUGUAGAGAAAGAUUGUCGAAAUUAUAUUGAAUUUGUGAGAUGAUUACGCCUUAGAGAAUGAGAUACCCUUGCAAUACAGGCGUAUUUUUCAAAGAUGCAAGCACUAUGCUUGAAAUUUUACUUUAGUAUUGACUUAGAUGAUGAUGUAGACUAAAGAAUGCUUUUGGGUAGAUAAUAAGUGUAGACAUAUAAGGAGUUCGGUGAUGUUCUCACUUUGAUACUACAUAUUUCACUAUAAUGGAGUGGAUAAAAUUGCAAGUAAAAGAUUUACGAAUGACAAAGUCAAGUGUAGGAAGUGUCGUCCACUCAUAGCAUAACAGCAACAACGAAAAUAUAUUAGAUCCUAUGUCGUCGAACAGAAAGGACGCAUCGAAGAAACUUCAGAGGAAAGGCCCAUUAAAGUCUAGUUUAAAGAGAGUAAGGUAUUUUUUACUAUUAGCAUCUUCGUUGAUUGAGAAUUUUAAACAAAUAAUCAUUUUACUUGUCGAAAAUGAAGGCCACCGCAUCGUUAAGCAAAGGAAAAAGGCCUCGAGCUAGGCAUAGUAAUACAGAAGAGGGAUCAAUCGAUGUCUAGGCAUCUCAACUACCACAAUGUUCUAUGUCGACGCCAUUGCAAUAUUUCGGCAGUCCGUCACCUACAAAUGUUAUAGUCAAUGCUGAAGGUAUAGCAUAUUGAUUUGUGUUUAGGAUGAGAAAUUAAUUGCUUAUUAGGUUUCUUAGGUAUUUAUUUAUGCAACUUGUCAUUUACGCGUGUUCUAUUUUUUACCUUCUAAACUAGACUUUGUCAUGCCAUACUUCUAUCAACAUUUACUCGAUCGAGGUGGCUGAGGCUUGUGAUUCUCGUAUGAAAGGUACAUGUGGACAAAUUUACUUGAUGCUAUUUUAUUUUUGGGCACUUAAGCCAUCUUUCUGUAUCAUAUGGUUGUAGUUGUGUGUAUGCUGCAGUACGAAGUGGAGAUCGUUCACAUCAUCCACUUUGAGAAGUGAAUACUGACUUUAUGACGAAAUUUCGG
rnacentral:lncRNA from 1 species